ensembl:misc_RNA Metazoa_SRP Metazoan signal recognition particle RNA
CAGGCAUGGCAGCACACACCUGUAGUCCCCACUACUCAAGAGGCUGAGGUGGGAGGAUGCCUUGGGUCCAGGAGUUCUGGGCUGCAGUGUGCUAUGCCAAUUGGGUGUCCACACUAAGUUCAGCAUCAAUAUGGUGACCUUCCAGAAACAAGAGACCACCAGGUUGCUUAAGGAGGGGUGAACCAGCCCAGAUCAGAAAUGGAGCAGGUCAAAACUCCUGUGAUGAUCAGUUAUCACAGUUUGUUGUUUUCCAGUCUGUGUUUUAUUCUAUUGUU